rnacentral:sRNA from 1 species
UAGCAAGCCUGGAACGUGAAGUUAUUUAUUUAUCCAAAGAGCCAUACAGCUGAGGCAGCAGCAGUGCAGGCUUCUUCACACUAUCCUGCUAAAGUGUCUUUUUCCUAGCCUAGAGGGACCACUUAGAUGUCCUUUCAGUCUUUGGCCCCUCUGCUUCAACUGCCAUCU